AUUGAGAGUCAUUUUAUUCCAAAAAGCACUUGCUCCCAUUUGAUUUUGGAGGCUAAGCAGAAACAACUCUGGCUAGUACUUGGAUGGGAUGCUACCAGUGAAUAUCAGGUGCUGUAGGGU
rnacentral:rRNA from 1 species